CCGGCCCGUUCAUUAUAUCAUACAAGGAAGUAUGGGGGUACUCCGCAUGCCAGUUCUGAGUUGUGUCCACAUCCUUACACGCUUCGCCAGCCACGGAGAAGAACAGGUAGUAAAGCGUGCGUGGAAGCGUUUGCGCUUAAUAUAAGCGCCCUCACGAAGCUAUCCAUCUCGGACGGUACAAUCUCGGGAGCUGUGUCCACCUCAGGAACCUCGUUCGCAACCGCCCCCGCCGGGGUGUCGCUAGUCUCCUUCACUUGGCACGGAUCAAUAACACGAGACCUCUCCCCCGGUGUGGUGUGAGACCGGAGGAUGCGCGUUGUCAUAUCCUUUGUCUUCAAUUUCCCGAGCAUAGGAACCGACACCCACUCACUCUUGCCCCCCUCGUGCUUGUACUACGGCUGAUGAUACGCUCCUUCUUCUUAAAUCCGAGUACAUCGCGCUCCUUGGCAUCCGGCACGACAGUAGCCUCCUCCCACAGUGUAGGCUCCCUCCUGUUGAACCGACAUGGAGCCGUCGCAUGGGCAGCGUUCAUCUCCGGUCUUCUCCACGCACGAAGCGUCCCACAGCGCCGUCUCCAUGUCACUGAUGUCUUCAUCGAAGAACCGCUCUCGACUCUGGUCCCGGAAGUUGUAGCACGGCUCGUGAUAAAUCACGUAAUCUUAACACACGGGAAUGGAUUUCAACACAUCGAAAUUCACAAGAACUAAUGAACUAAUCUGAUAUACAAUACGAAAGUUAUACGAAAAAUAGUAACGAAAGUAAUAAUAUGCACAUAAUAGAAUAUUUAAAGCACCAUUCACAUAGCAUUCAAGGAAUAUAAUUAUUACAUAAAGUAAUAGAGAUAAUAGAAGUUCUGCAACCAAACAAUGCACGAUCACUGAAAUAAAACACAGGUUAAUUAGCGGAAAGUUAAUUCCAUUAUAUCUACACGUUAUUAUUAGGUGAGAUAAUAAGGUCUCAUAAUUUUAGCCGAUAAUAUCUAGCAGGCGUCGUUGUGAAGGAAUGAUCCUCUAAUUGUCAGUUUUCUAGAAUCUUUGCGGUUGUUGGCUACAACACUUCGUUGAACGGAACGUGUAAUUACUUCAUUAGCGCUCGAUUAACGAAUAAUUCGUGCUACUCGUGCACUUUUCGCCAUAACUUUCCGAAGACCUAUCAAAAAUAGAUGCUACCCCCUCCCCCAUCUAAUCCAAAGUUAAUCCAAAAUCUUUUUAUAUACAUAUUUUAAAAUAUACGUGUGACAUAUUCUUUAUAUGUUGA
rnacentral:misc_RNA from 1 species